UGAAAGUUCAUACUACCGUUGACAACUGU
rnacentral:sRNA from 1 species